rnacentral:rRNA from 1 species
GACAGAGGGUGCAAACGUUGUUCGGAAUUACUGGGCGUAAAGCGUGCGUAGGUGGUUCGUUAAGUCUGUCGUGAAAGCCCCGGGCCCAACCUGGGAAUGGCGAUGGAUACUGGCGGGCUAGAGUGCGGUAGAGGAGAGUGGAAUUCCCGGUGUAGCAGUGAAAUGCGUAGAGAUCGGGAGGAACAUCAGUUGCGAAGGCGGCUCUCUGGACCAGCACUGACACUGAGGCACGAAAGCGUGGGGAGCAAACAGG